GUGGGGAAUCUUCCGCAAUGGACGAAAGUCUGACGGAGCAACGCCGCGUGAGUGAUGAAGGUCUUCGGAUUGUAAAGCUCUGUUAAUCGGGACGAAAGAGCCUAGUGUGAAUAAUGCUAGGAAGUGACGGUACCGGAAUAGAAAGCCACGGCUAACUACGUGCCAGCAGCCGCGGUAAUACGUAGGUGGCAAGCGUUGUCCGGAAUUAUUGGGCGUAAAGCGCGCGCAGGCGGAUCUGCCAGUCUGUCUUAAAAGUUCGGGGCUUAACCCCGUGAUGGGAUGGAAACUACAGAUCUAGAGUAUCGGAGAGGAAAGUGGAAUUCCUAGUGUAGCGGUGAAAUGCGUAGAUAUUAGGAAGAACACCAGUGGCGAAGGCGACUUUCUGGACGAAAACUGACGCUGAGGCGCGAAAGCCAGGGGAGCGAACGGGAUUAGGAUACCCCUGUAGUCC
rnacentral:rRNA from 1 species